rnacentral:rRNA from 1 species
ACGGUGUAGCAGUACACCGUGGCGAAUGGCGGAGUAAUACAUAAGCAACGUGCCCUGAAGACUGGGAUAGUCAGAGGAAACUCUGGGUAAUACCAGAUGUGGCCGACACCUGGCAUCAGGAGUCGAUUAAAUGGUUUUUCGCUUCAGGAGCGGCUUAUGGCCUAUCAGGUAGUUGGUGGGGUAAUGGCCUACCAAGCCGACGACGGGUAGCGGGUCUGAGAGGAUGAUCCGCUCGAGUGGGACUGAGACACGGCCCACACACCUACGGGUGGCAGCAGUUGGGAAUCUUGCACAAUGGGGGAAACCCUGAUGCAGCGACGCCGCGUGGAGGAUGAAGGAUCUAGGUCUGUAAACUCCUUUUUCAGGGAAAGACUUAGGACGGUACCCUGAGAAUAAGGACCGGCUAACUACGUGCCAGCAGCCGCGGUAAGACGUAGGGUCCAAGCGUUGUCCGGAUUUACUGGGCGUAAAGAGCGCGUAGGCGGCUCGUUAAGUGUGAAGUGAAAUCUCCAGGGCUCAACCCGGAAACUGCUUUACAUACUGGCGAGCUGGAGUGAUGAAGAGGUUUGUGGAAUUCCUGGUGUAGCGGUGAAAUGCGUUGAUAUCAGGAGGAACACCCAUGGCGAAGGCAGCAAACUGGUCAUCAACUGACGCUGAGGCGCGAAAGCGUGGGUAGCAAACAGGAUUAGAUACCCUGGUAGUCCACGCCCUAAACGAUGGAUACUAGGCGUAAGAGGUAUCGACCCCUCUUGUGCCGCAGCUAACGCAUUAAGUAUCCCGCCUGGGGAGUACG